rnacentral:miRNA from 1 species
AUCUCAGAAAAGGAGGAGAAAGAGGAAGAAAUGGCUGGUUCUCAGGUAAAAUGUGUCCCAAGUCAGGGGCUGUGUCCACUUUUCCUACUGG